AUGCUAUAUAUACUAACACAAGCACCAUUACCUUCCUCAUCAUUCAUAGGGUUUGGCAAUGGCAGAUCUAGAUCUAGAAAUUCAUCUCAUCCCCAAACUUUCACACAAACGUUAAUUUUUUCGUUAAAUCUCAUCUCAGCACAGCGCCUCCCGGCCUUCUCUGGUAAAUUUCAUGACGCGAAAGCCCCGAUCCACGUCCUAGAUUGCCGCCGUUUGUGUUGCAAAUUUCCCUAA